rnacentral:ncRNA from 2 species
UUCUUAUGAAGAGAGGGGGAGGGAAUGGCCCGGUGAAGCCUCGGCAGCGGACUCGUUUAGAGUACUGUGCCAAUUCCACAAGCGUAUUGCUUGAAAGAUAAGAA